rnacentral:rRNA from 1 species
AACGAACGCUGGCGGCAUGCCUAACACAUGCAAGUCGAACGAGACCUUCCGGUCUAUUUGCGCACGGCGGCGUACCGCGUGGUGACCUGCCUUUAGGUUCGGAAUACCUCAGAGAGAUUUGACUUAAUGCCGCUUGGUGUCUUCCCACCAAAGAGUUAUGGCUGUUAGAUGGGCCCGGGUUGGUUUAGCUAGUUGGUGGGGUAAACGCCUACCAAGGCGUCGAUCCAUAGCUGGUCUGAGAGGAUGAGAAGCCACACUGGGACUGAGACACGGCCCAGACUGCUACGGGAGGGAGCAGUGGGGAAUAUAGGACAAUGGGCGAAAGCCUGAUACAGCAAUGCGGGGUGAGUGAUGAAGGCCUUAGGGUUGUAAAGCUCUUUUACACGAGAUGAGAAUGACAGUAUCGGGAGAAUAAGCUCCGGCUAACUCCGUG